rnacentral:rRNA from 1 species
UAAGUGCAAUUGGUGGAUGCCUUGGUGCCAAGAGGCGAUGAAGGACGUAGCAAGCUGCGAUAAGCCACGGUUAGCCGCAAGCAGGCUUUGACCCGUGGAUUUCCGAAUGGGACAACCCGGCUACCCCUCAAAGGUAGUCAUCUGCAGAUGAAUUCAUAGUCUGCAGAAGCGAUACGGGGUGAAGUGAAACAUCUCAGUACCCCCAGGAAAAGAAAAUGAAAUGAUUCCGUAAGUAGUGGCGAGCGAAAGCGGAUUAGCCCAAACCAGGGAAACUUGUUUCCCUGGGGUUGUGGGACCCCGAUAUGGGACCACAAAGGUGAGCGUAAUGUUCUGGAAAGUUCAACCAGAGACCGUGACAGUCGGGUGCGCGAAGCUGGAGUGGCUCUAGGGGUAUCCCAAGUAAUGCGGAACACGUGAAACUCUGCAUGAAUCUGUCCAGACCACUGGAUAAGGCUAAAUACUACUUGGCAACCGAUAGUGGACUAGUACCGUGAGGGAAAGGUGAAAAGAACCCCUGUUAGGG